GAGAGAUUAGCACAGUGGCAAUGCAGUUGGCUUGAAACCAACAAGGGGGGGUUCGAGUCCUUCGUCUCUUA
rnacentral:tRNA from 1 species